GACGAACGCUGGCGGCGUGCUUAACACAUGCAAGUCGAACGAUGAAGCCAGCUUGCUGGUGGAUUAGUGGCGAACGGGUGAGUAACACGUGGGUGAUCUGCCCCAAACUUUGGGAUAAGCCUGGGAAACUGGGUCUAAUACCGAAUAUGACCGAUACUCGCAUGGGUGUUGGUGGAAAGCUCCGGCGGUUUGGGAUGGGCCCGCGGCCUAUCAGCUUGUUGGUGGGGUAAUGGCCUACCAAGGCGACGACGGGUAGCCGGCCUGGGAGGGCGACCGGCCACACUGGGACUGAGACACGGCCCAGACUCCUAUGGGAGGCAGCAGUGGGGAAUAUUGCACAAUGGGCGCAAGCCUGAUGCAGCGACGCCGCGUGAGGGAUGACGGCCUUCGGGUUGUAAACCUCUUUCACCAGGGACGAAGCGAAAGUGACGGUACCUGGAGAAGAAGCACCGGCCAACUACGUG
rnacentral:rRNA from 1 species